AUUGAACGCUGGCGGCAGGCCUAACACAUGCAAGUCGAGCGGUAACACAGAGGAGCUUGCUCCUUGGGUGACGAGCGGCGGACGGGUGAGUAAUGCCUGGGGAUCUGCCCGAUAGAGGGGGAUAACUACGGGAAACUGUAGCUAAUACCGCAUAAUGUCUACGGACCAAAGUGGGGGCUCUUCGGACCUCAUGCUAUCGGAUGAACCCAGGUGGGAUUAGCUAGUUGGUGAGGUAAUGGCUCACCAAGGCGACGAUCUCUAACUGGUUUGAGAGAAUGACCAGUCACACUGGAACUGAGACACGGUCCAGACUCCUACGGGAGGCAGCAGUGGGGAAUAUUGCACAAUGGGCGCAAGCCUGAUGCAGCCAUGCCGCGUGUGUGAAGAAGGCCUUCGGGUUGUAAAGCACUUUCAGCGGGGAGGAAGGGUCACUAGUUAAUACCUAGUGGCAUUGACGUUACUCGCAGAAGAAGCACCGGCUAACUCCGUGCCAGCCGCCGCAGUAAAAC
rnacentral:rRNA from 1 species